UCUUUCUUGAUUCGGUGGGUGGUGGUGAUGGCCGUUCUUAGUUGGUGGAGCGAUUUGUCUGGUUAAUUCCGAUAACGAACGAAGACUCUAGCCUGCUAAAUAGGCGAUUUCCGGUACCCAAAAUAGUGUUACCGGCGAUUCAAUUUCUUCUUAGAGGGACAGGCGGCUU
rnacentral:rRNA from 1 species